CCCCCGCCGCAGCAGGUUCGCGAGUUCCCACCCCGCCCCGCGCCAGCGCCGCAGGCCCGGCCGCCGCCCAUUGGCUCCGCCAGUUGCUAGGCGACGAACAACCGCGGCCUGCAUUGGUCGGGUGGGGGCGCAGGAGCCGCCUCCUCACCUCCAAAAAAACCCGGAGGAAAAGAGAACCUUUUCCCUGGAGCCCCAGCGCGCGGCGGGCGCAGCUGCGGCCGAGGCACCUGUUACGCCCUCUGAUUCACCCGGCCCAGCCCUUCCUGCCGCCCCUCCCCACGGCCCCGGCUCCUGGGGCCUCAGCGGGCCCGGGGUCUCGGAUGCCUCGGUGCACGUUCGGUGAUUCCGCACCCCGCCCCUGAAUGCCAGCACCCAUCCUAGGAGCAAGAAAUGAAGCUCUCAGGAGAGCCACGUGGAGAAGUAAACCAAACACCAGCCGGCACCAGAAUUAGUACACUGGGCCUCAUUCUGUCUUACUACGGACGUGAUCUCACUAGAAGGUAGAAAACAUGGAUGCAGGAAGAAACAAAUCCAAGCAAGCAAAUAAAGUGAAUAAAAAAGGAAAUCCCACGAACUCUGCUGGAGGUCUUUGAGAGGCUGAACUGCCGCUUGCAUUUCUAAAGCAUGAUGAACUAUUUAUAAUCUCAACAUUUUUCAAAAUUCAGCAGAUUUAAAUGCUGCAACCUGACUUGAUGAGUAAAGAGAUUUAAGAUAGAACUAUAAGCAACAUGAGUAGAAUAGUCAAACCCAGACCAGAUGGCUCGUUAAUGCAAGAGAAGUAGGCUAGCAUUAGCAUGGUGUUAUCUGUGGAUUUUUAAAAAAUCCUUCAAAACUGUUUUAUUCAAAAGCUUGAUGCCUGAAGCUUCACCUUGAGCAACUGGGAAAGGCAGAGAACUUUCUUUGUAUACCCAGCAUCUGUUUCUCCCAAUGGUGACAUCCUGAUUUUCCUUAAAGCAUCUCUCAGCUGGGCCUAGUGGUGCAUAUUUGUAAUUUCACCACUCAGGAGGCUGAGACGGGGGAUUGUGAGUUUGAGCCCACCCAAGGAAACUUACUGAGAUCCUACCUCAAGACAAAAAUAGAUAAGAAGUACUGAGAAUGGCAUUCAGUGUUUAGGCCCUGGGUUCAAUCCCUGGAACCACAAAAAAAAAAAAAAAAAAA